rnacentral:rRNA from 1 species
GACGAACGCUGGCGGCGUGCUUAACACAUGCAAGUCGAACGGAAAGGCCCUGCUUGCAGGGUACUCGAGUGGCGAACGGGUGAGUAACACGUGGGUGAUCUGCCCUGCACUUCGGGAUAAGCCUGGGAAACUGGGUCUAAUACCGGAUAGGAGCCAUUUUUAGUGUGAUGGUUGGAAAGUUUUUUCGGUGUAGGAUGAGCUCGCGGCCUAUCAGCUUGUUGGUGGGGUAAUGGCCUACCAAGGCGGCGACGGGUAGCCGGCCUGAGAGGGUGGACGGCCACAUUGGGACUGAGAUACGGCCCAGACUCCUACGGGAGGCAGCAGGGGGGAAUAUUGCACAAUGGGCGCAAGCCUGAUGCAGCGACGCCGCGUGGGGGAUGACGGCCUUCGGGUUGUAAACUCAUUUCGCUAGGGACGAAGCUUUUUGUGACGGUACCUAGAUAAGAAGCACCGGCUAACUACGUG